UAUGUAGGGACCAAGCGUUGUUCGGAUUUACUGGGCGUAAAGGGCGCGUAGGCGGCAUGACAAGUCACUUGUGAAAUCUCCGGGCUUAACUCGGAACGGUCAAGUGAUACUGUCGCGCUAGAGUGCGGAAGGGGCAAUCAGAAUUCUUGGUGUAGCGGUGAAAUGCGUAGAUAUCAAGAGGAAUACCUGAGGUGAAGACGGGUUGCUAGGCCGACACUGACGCUGAAGCGCGAAAGCCAGGGGAGCAAACGGG
rnacentral:rRNA from 1 species